rnacentral:rRNA from 1 species
CCUACGGGGGGCAGCAGUGAGGAAUAUUGGUCAAUGGACGCAAGUCUGAACCAGCCAUGCCGCGUGCAGGAAGACGGCUCUAUGAGUUGUAAACUGCUUUUGUACGAGGGUAAACGCAGAUACGUGUAUCUGUCUGAAAGUAUCGUACGAAUAAGGAUCGGCUAACUCCGUGCCAGCAGCCGCGGUAAUACGGAGGAUUCAAGCGUUAUCCGGAUUUAUUGGGUUUAAAGGGUGCGUAGGCGGUCGGAUAAGUUAGAGGUGAAAUCCCGAGGCUCAACUUCGGAAUUGCCUCUGAUACUGUUCGG